UUGAUCAAUUUAUUGUAUUUUUAAUUAGAAAAUACAUAGAAGUAUGAACAUGAAUAUUAGGAGACAAGCCAGUAUUAGAACUACUCUAGUGCCCUUGAAAUUCCAUCAUUUCUCCACUUAGACCCUCAUGAUCUAGUAAAUGAUCAGGAAUAUAAUUACCUAACUCAUAUUUCAAGAGAAAAUUGUGCAAGGCAAUUGUUGUCAUCAUAUAUUAAACUUCGCUUUCAGACUUACUAUUGAUUGGCGAUAGGAAAAAGCUCCUCAUAAAAGAAGUUGUAAUACAUUAAGGCUCUUGGAGGGUUCGCCGUGAUUUUUUGCAGUAUACAAAUUUGUCUUGUGACACUUUCGCCUUGAUCCGUUAUUGCCGUGUGACGCUUUCACUUUGAGGUGUUUUGGCUUUGCACUGUUUUGAAUUCAGACUUUUUUCCCUUAAUAAUAAUAACAGAGGGAAUACUACUUCUUCUUUGUUACAUAUUUGUUUUGAAUAUUUACAGUUGUAUUCCAGCUUUGAGAAAUUAGCAACAAAAAUGCAAACAAGCAAGUCAUUAACAAUUCUUCAAACCUUAAUUAGUUAUAUAUAAAUAAUACGUAGGUUUCAAAGCAUUGUGGAGGAAUCACGGAAUGCUACUGCUACGUUCCGUUGCAAAAAAAUCAUUAGCAUUCAUAUGCAGUCCAUUUCUUCAUUAAAAUGCCAUUAAGAGAUAUUGAACUCUCUACUUACAUCAAGGAUUGUACUAUAGUUAAAGAUCAAGAUGGGGAUCUCGUCCAUGAAAGUCUACAUGUACUUGUGAACAUGAUAUAUUUAUACUAUUUAUCAACGAACUUCAUUAACUUAUCAGUAUUCACAAUCAUAGAUUUUGCUGUGCUCGCGUUGACCCUUCACUUGUAAUUCUCUCACUGUGCCUCAGUAGUAAAUUAUCUUCCAGUCUUGUGUGUUUAUAUCUUAUGCAUAUUUUGUGAUUCUAGGUGGCAAUUAACCAUCUUCCUAUACUGUGAGGAUUUUGGAUCCUAACGAAUGGAAGGAAAGCAUAGUUUCAAGAUCCUUCCUAUGUAAAGCAUCUUUUUUAGUGGUGAUAAAUAGUAAAUACAAGAACUUGAUGGAUUUGUAGAGUUGUCUAGCUUUGAGAAUUGAAUAGGAUAAGGAGAUCUUCACAGUUUGAGUUUUAAAGUGAAUAUCAAACUCAUAAAUACUCAGAGAGACCAUACCUAGUAUGGGACAUUGUAUAUCGACGACUUUAAAAGUAUAAGGAACUUGAGAAAACCGAGCAAUUGUUUGGUUAAUCUUCCUAAAACAUCAAGAGAAUCUUCUCCGCAGGAUGCUAAAACCGGAGAUAUCUCGGAUGGACGAUAAUUUAUAAACUAGUAUCGGACAAUAUUAAUCUGGCACCUCAAUCUUUCCAGCCGUCUCGCUAAGUUCCUUUAAAUAGAGCAAAGGGCGUCCGACUAAACUAAAGAUCAAAACUGGGGAUCUGUAAUUAUAUAAUAGUAAUUAUAUUUAUUUAUCACUAUAAGAUAUCUCAUUUAGUCUUUAGUUUUUUAUAUUUUUAAGAUGGAUUGCAGAUACAUCACCGAAAACAUUUUUAAUAAUUGAUGUAUUAAGUUAGAUAUUUUGUUGAGAUAAAGUACUGGAAUCCAGUAUUUAUCUUUAUAAUUCUUUCAAAUCACUUUAUUCCCUCAUAAAAUCACUGUAAUGUAUCAAUAGUGAGUUGAUUAUAAUUCCCUUCUGUAUUUGUCAUUUUAGUACAUCAGUUGCAAUUAGUCGACUAUAUAAAGUUGUUAAAACGUUAACAAACAUACACUUUUUUCAAAAUAAAAACUGAUGAUUUUAUUCUUCUGUAUCCCAUGAGGAAAUUAACUUAAAGGAAACUUUUGAAAUUAAGCAUCAUAACUUUAAAAUUCAAAAGGGAUAGAGGUCAUAAAAACUUUCCAACCCUAUUUUUUUUAUGACUACACAA
rnacentral:lncRNA from 1 species